rnacentral:rRNA from 1 species
AACGAACGCUGGCGGCAGGCUUAACACAUGCAAGUCGAGCGCCCCGCAAGGGGAGCGGCAGACGGGUGAGUAACGCGUGGGAACGUACCUUUUGGUUCGGAACAACUCCGGGAAACUGGAGCUAAUACCGGAUAAGCCCUAACGGGGAAAGAUGUAUCGUCGAAGGAUCGGCCCGCGUCUGAUUAGCUAGUUGGUGAGGUAACGGCUCACCAAGGCGACGAUCAGUAGCUGGUCUGAGAGGAGGAUCAGCCACACUGGGACUGAGACACGGCCCAGACUCCUACGGGAGGCAGCAGAGGGGAAUAUUGGACAAUGGGGGCAAGCCUGAUCCAGCCAUGCGGCGUGAGUGAUGAAGGCCUUAGGGUUGUAAAGCUCUUUUGUCCGGGAAGAUAAUGACGGUACCGGAAGAAUAAGCCCCGGCUAACUUCGUG